UCAUAGUUCAGUUUAGUGAGAUCUCGUUUGUUAGAGUUAGUGAAGCCAGAUAAGGAGAAGAUACUCUGGAGAUGUUGAACUCACUUCGUAGUACAGGCCUCAGGUUACUCAUGUAGUGUUUCAAAAGCAGGACGCUUUGCAAGUUUACGUCACACUGUAAGAAGUUGGACUAAAAACAAAUCUGAGAAAAAAAAAUUGAGAAUAAAGUCAUAAUAUUAUAAAGUAGUAAUUGUAUGUGUUAUUUUAGAGGGGAAGUAGAGCAGUGUUUCUGAAAAUGAGGAUGUAUCUUGUGAAUUUCAUAGGUAACCAAAUACUUCCUCUUUUGUCACAUCAGCACCACGUUAUCUGUCAGGCCCUCUGCCUCAUCCUAGCCAGCUGUGUGUGUGUGUGUGUGUGUGUGUGUGUGUGUGUGUGUGUGUGCGUGUGCGUGUGCGUGUGCGUGUGUGUGUGUGGAGUCAGGUGUGCAGGGGUUGUGCUGCAGCUGCAAACGGUCAUCAAUCUAUUCUACAACAAAUACAGGUCUUCACUUCACCAUGCUGCCAGAUCGUUGGCUCUGUUUCCACAAAGCACUCGGCCCACUUCCUGCCUCCGCUCCUGUUUAGCACACCUCUCUGGACUCAGCACACCUCUCUGGACUCAGCAUACAGCUCUGGACUCAGCACACCUCUCUGGACUCAGCAUACCUCUCUGGACUCAGCACACCUCUCUGGACUCAGCAUACAGCUCUGGAUCUCUGGAUCUCUGGACACAGCUCUCCUCCCCUCUCUGCCUGCAUACUCACCUGUCUUGCUCUACCCAGUUCUCGCCAUCAUAAAUGAAGUAUUGUAAAUAAAUGAUUUCAUUGCAUCUA